GUUGCUGUUGAAAAACCAAAACUUGCUCCUUCAAAGUAAGAGCCUGAGGUUUGCAAAGAGAAGGCCACACCGAAGCCCUCAAAGAAAGCAGCUGAAGAGAAAGAAAAACCUGUCCCUGUGAAGAAAG